rnacentral:rRNA from 1 species
GAUGAACGCUGACAGAAUGCUUAACACAUGCAAGUCCACUUGAACUUCGGUUUGGGUGGCGGACGGGUGAGUAACGCGUAAAGAACUUGCCUCACAGAUAGGGACAACAUUUGGAAACGAAUGCUAAUACCUGAUAUUAUGAUUAUAUGGCAUCGUAUAAUUAUGAAAGCUAUAUGCGCUGUGAGAGAGCUUUGCGUCCCAUUAGCUAGUUGGAGAGGUAACGGCUCACCAAGGCGAUGAUGGGUAGCCGGCCUGAGAGGGUGAUCGGCCACAAGGGGACUGAGACACGGCCCUUACUCCUACGGGAGGCAGCAGUGGGGAAUAUUGGACAAUGGACCAAGAGUCUGAUCCAGCAAUUCUAUGUGCACGAUGAAGUUUUUCGGAAUGUAAAGUGCUUUCAGUUGGGAAGAAAAAAAUGACGGUACCAACAGAAGAAGUGACGGCUAAAUACGUG